CCCUGUGUGGAGUUUGCAUGUUCUCCCCGGGCCUGCGUGGGUUUUCUCCGGGUGCUCCGGUUUCCUCCCACAUUCCAAAAACAUGCGUGGCAGGCUGAUUGAACACUCUAAAUUGUCCCGAGGUGUGAGUGUGAGUGUGAAUGGUUGUUUGUCUCUGUGUGCCCUGCGAUUGGCUGGCAACCGAUUCAGGGUGUCCCCCGCCUACUGCCCGGAGACAGCUGGGAUAGGCUCCAGCAACCCCCGCGACCCUGGUGAGGAUCAAGCAGUUAGGAAGAUGAAUGAAUGAAUGAAUAUUAGAGAAAUCCAGAUGAUGCCCGUGGUAGCAUUACGGGUCUAGUUUGUGAAGGCUUCUAUAAUUGUGAGGCCAAGGUCCGCCACUGCAAAAAAAGGUCACUUCAAAAAAAAAAAACAA